rnacentral:lncRNA from 1 species
UCCACUUCAGUGCAACACCAAGUGGUUGACCAAAGCUUCCCUAAAGUCCAAUCUCAAAGAGUGUAGUAUCGAGUCUCAACCAACCCCAGUCGGAACCGAAGUCAGUUAUCUCACUACUUUCUAAUGGCCAGGAUGAGUCAAUUAGGGUUCUAAAGGUCUGGUUAAUGCUUUGAUGACACCACGCAGACGCCAAAUUUCUCCUCAAGUAAACAUGAGGAACAUCAGGACAUCCAAAGUGUCACAUUAACCGUAGCCAUCAUUUUAACCAUUCCAGUAUACGCCGGAUAGUCGCGAUGAUCUCUUGCUACUUACCUAAGGUACACUAGAUCCGGG